rnacentral:lncRNA from 1 species
GCAUAAAUAAUGUUUUUCAGGCUACAGUAGCAAAGCGAAAAUAUCAGGAGCGAAGAUCUUUGACCAUGGCUCCUCCGAUCUGUGAAGAAAGUCUGGCUGCUCCUCAGGAGCACCUCACAGAGACCCCUCUCUGAGAACAGGCAGUCUUUUCAUGCCUUUCUACAUUCUGAACUGAAGCAAGUGUUUGUCACCCAGGAAACCUCAGGCCAGGCAGUACGUGGUGGCAGUGCGUGUGUGAAGUGUCUGUGCACGCCUUGCGCGUGGGCUGGAGCCCGCCUUCGGAGAGCCGCCCCACAGCCCCUCCUGAGGCAGCUGCAGCUGCAGGGGAACGUGGCAGUGGAGCAGGAGGUGUCACAGGGAGGGAAGGCCACCCUGGGAGGGGUGGACGGAGGCAGUGCCAGUUCCUCUGGCUCUCAGCAGUGGAGGGCUUCAGACCCUCCUGCUACGAGGGACUGAACGCUACAGAGAGGAGGCUCACAGCUCACUGCAGAAUGGAUGAGCGCGACUGAACUGUUGACCUCAAGCAACUGGCAAGUGUUUUUUCAGACCUGUGAGAAUGUUGACCCUAGAAAAGAGAAGUACUGCACGCUAGCUUUGGAUUAAUUAUUUUCUUAGGAUUCUGGAAAGGUAAAACUCCUAAUAGCUGUGCUGAAGGACAGACUUACCACUCUGACUAGUGAAGACAGACUUGAUAACAUGCACUGAAGUCAGUAAGCAGGCCAAGCACACCCCAAGAGGGUGUUAGAAGAGUCUUGUGGCAAUAUUCUUGUUAAUUUUUGAGACAGAUGUAUUGGGGGUGGGUGUUCUGGGGAUAGGUUAAUUUACGUUGGGGUCAGGUAAAGACCCUUAAUGAGGAUAGAUAUGCAGAAAAUAAAAGCAGACCUAAAGUGGUUCA